CUGCUCAGAACGAACGCUGGCGGCAGGCCUAACACAUGCAAGUCGAGCGCACCUUCGGGUGAGCGGCGGACGGGUUAGUAACGCGUGGGAACGUGCCCUUCUCUAAGGAAUAGCCACUGGAAACGGUGAGUAAUACCUUAUACGCCCUUCGGGGGAAAGAUUUAUCGGAGAAGGAUCGGCCCGCGUUAGAUUAGAUAGUUGGUGGGGUAAUGGCCUACCAAGUCUACGAUCUAUAGCUGGUUUUAGAGGAUGAUCAGCAACACUGGGACUGAGACACGGCCCAGACUCCUACGGGAGGCAGCAGUGGGGAAUCUUAGACAAUGGGCGAAAGCCUGAUCUAGCCAUGCCGCGUGAGUGACGAAGGCCUUAGGGUCGUAAAGCUCUUUCGCCAGGGAUGAUAAUGACAGUACCUGGUAAAGAAACCCCGGCUAACUCCGUGCCAGCAGCCGCGGUAAUACGGAGGGGGUUAGCGUUGUUCGGAAUUACUGGGCGUAAAGCGUACGUAGGCGGAUUGGAAAGUAUGGGGUGAAAUCCCAGGGCUCAACCCUGGAACUGCCUCAUAAACUACCAGUCUAGAGUUCGAGAGAGGUGAGUGGAAUUCCGAGUGUAGAGGUGAAAUUCGUAGAUAUUCGGAGGAACACCAGUGGCGAAGGCGGCUCACUGGCUCGAUACUGACGCUGAGGUACGAAAGUGUGGGGAGCAAACAGGAUUAGAUACCCUGGUAGUCCACACCGUAAACGAUGAAUGCCAGUCGUCGGGUUGCAUGCAAUUCGGUGACACACCUAACGGAUUAAGCAUUCCGCC
rnacentral:rRNA from 1 species